rnacentral:rRNA from 1 species
ACACGGCGGGUGCUAACGUCCGUCGUGAAGAGGGAAACAACCCAGACCGCCAGCUAAGGUCCCAAAGUCAUGGUUAAGUGGGAAACGAUGUGGGAAGGCCCAGACAGCCAGGAUGUUGGCUUAGAAGCAGCCAUCAUUUAAAGAAAGCGUAAUAGCUCACUGGUCGAGUCGGCCUGCGCGGAAGAUGUAACGGGGCUAAACCAUGCACCGAAGCUGCGGCAGCGACGCUUAUGCGUUGUUGGGUAGGGGAGCGUUCUGUAAGCCUGCGAAGGUGUGCUGUGAGGCAUGCUGGAGGUAUCAGAAGUGCGAAUGCUGACAUAAGUAACGAUAAAGCGGGUGAAAAGCCCGCUCGCCGGAAGACCAAGGGUUCCUGUCCAACGUUAAUCGGGGCAGGGUGAGUCGACCCCUAAGGCGAGGCCGAAAGGCGUAGUCGAUGGGAAACAGGUUAAUAUUCCUGUACUUGGUGUUACUGCGAAGGGGGGACGGAGAAGGCUAUGUUGGCCGGGCGACGGUUGUCCCGGUUUAAGCGUGUAGGCUGGUUUUCCAGGCAAAUCCGGAAAAUCAAGGCUGAGGCGUGAUGACGAGGCACUACGGUGCUGAAGCAACAAAUGCCCUGCUUCCAGGAAAAGCCUCUAAGCAUCAGGUAACAUCAAAUCGUACCCCAAACCGACACAGGUGGUCAGGUAGAGAAUACCAAGGCGCUUGAGAGAACUCGGGUGAAGGAACUAGGCAAAAUGGUGCCGUAACUUCGGGAGAAGGCACGCUGAUAUGUAGGUGAAGUCCCUUGCGGAUGGAGCUGAAAUCAGUCGAAGAUACCAGCUGGCUGCAACUGUUUAUUAAAAACACAGCACUGUGCAAACACGAAAGUGGACGUAUACGGUGUGACGCCUGCCCGGUGCCGGAAGGUUAAUUGAUGGGGUCAGCGCAAGCGAAGCUCUUGAUCGAAGCCCCGGUAAACGGCGGCCGUAACUAUAACGGUCCUAAGGUAGCGAAAUUCCUUGUCGGGUAAGUUCCGACCUGCACGAAUGGCGUAAUGAUGGCCAGGCUGUCUCCACCCGAGACUCAGUGAAAUUGAACUCGCUGUGAAGAUGCAGUGUACCCGCGGCAAGACGGAAAGACCCCGUGAACCUUUACUAUAGCUUGACACUGAACAUUGAGCCUUGAUGUGUAGGAUAGGUGGGAGGCUUUGAAGUGUGGACGCCAGUCUGCAUGGAGCCGGCCUUGAAAUACCACCCUUUAAUGUUUGAUGUUCUAACGUGGACCCGUGAUCCGGGUUGCGGACAGUGUCUGGUGGGUAGUUUGACUGGGGCGGUCUCCUCCUAAAGAGUAACGGAGGAGCACGAAGGUUGGCUAAUCCUGGUCGGACAUCAGGAGGUUAGUGCAAUGGCAUAAGCCAGCUUGACUGCGAGCGUGACGGCGCGAGCAGGUGCGAAAGCAGGUCAUAGUGAUCCGGUGGUUCUGAAUGGAAGGGCCAUCGCUCAACGGAUAAAAGGUACUCCGGGGAUAACAGGCUGAUACCGCCCAAGAGUUCAUAUCGACGGCGGUGUUUGGCACCUCGAUGUCGGCUCAUCACAUCCUGGGGCUGAAGUAGGUCCCAAGGGUAUGGCUGUUCGCCAUUUAAAGUGGUACGCGAGCUGGGUUUAGAACGUCGUGAGACAGUUCGGUCCCUAUCUGCCGUGGGCGCUGGAGAACUGAGGGGGGCUGCUCCUAGUACGAGAGGACCGGAGUGGACGCAUCACUGGUGUUCGGGUUGUCAUGCCAAUGGCACUGCCCGGUAGCUAAAUGCGGAAGAGAUAAGUGCUGAAAGCAUCUAAGCACGAAACUUGCCCCGAGAUGAGUUCUCCCUGACCCUUUAAGGGUCCUGAAGGAACGUUGAAGACGACGACGUUGAUAGGCCGGGUGUGUAAGCGCAGCGAUGCGUUGAGCUAACCGGUACUAAUGAACCGUGAGG